rnacentral:misc_RNA from 1 species
ACCUUCUAGCUCUAACUUGCUAUAUUCUUCCAGCACCUUCCAGGUCCGAAAAUACUAAUACUAUAAAACACCUAUCAACACAUAAAAAAAACUAGCAAAAAAAAUCCAAGAACUAGACCUAGCAGUAUCUGUCAGCCAGAGAGAGGAAAAGAAAAUGAAACCCAUCGACGACAAGAAGGACAAAAUGGUAACAAGGGCAGUGCCCCGCGAUGAAGAAGGGAAGAAAAGAGUUGAGAAGACAGAGCUUAAAACCGACAACAUAGAUACCAUUAAGUAUGUGGGAAAAAAGCUCAUGGACAAGGGGCUGCUGCGCAUGGAAAGGCACCCAGUUGA